rnacentral:rRNA from 1 species
AUGAAGGGCGGCCGCCUGCACCGCCCGGAGCCGCCGGCCCCUCACGCGGCCGCGGCCGCGCCCGCCCCUGCCCCCGCGCCCGCCGACGACUGGGUGGACGGCUCCUGGACGGUGGACUGCUCCUGCGGCGUCACCUUCGACGACGGCGAGGAGAUGGUCAGCUGCGACGACUGCAGCGUCUGGGUGCACACGCGGUGCGCGCGCUACGUCCGGGGCGUGCACACCUCCUUCUCCUGCCACAACUGCCGGCACAAGCGCGCCCCCUCCUCCGCCGACGAGACCGAGGUCGCCGAGCUCCUCGCCGAGCUGCCCACCCACCGCCCGCCCCCGCUCUACCGCAGGUGGGCUGAGGUCCCGCUCCCCGCCCGCGUCCACGUCCACGGCCUCCCCGGCGGCGGGGCCGACGCCUCCCUCUUCCGCGGAUCCCCGCCCUCCGCCGCCUUCUCCGCCGCCCUCUGGCGCUGCGCCGGCUACGUCCCCAAGAAGUUCGGCUUCCGCUACUGCGAGUUCCCCUCCUGGGCCGAGGACAAGGACAAGAGGGCCGAGGACAAGGACGGCGCCGACGCUCUUUUCGCCAUGGCCAGGGAGAAGCGGGAGGAGACGGCGCCCGUGCCAGUGCCAGCGCCGGCGGCCAGAUUAUCCCUCCCGAUUGGGAAUAAGGGAAACAAGAAUGCUCAAACCCUAAGCAAGAAGGCUGAAGGCGCAAAAGAGGUUCCUCCUCGGACAGAUGCCAAGACAAAAGGAGCAUCCAAGAUCGCCACAGAGGCUGAUACACGGGAUAAUGGGUUUGAGUCGAAAGGGGAUCUUAACAUGCCUGAUGUCAGGCAUAACGAUCAGCUUGCCGACAUUACCAUGGCCAAUUCUGAUUUUAAAGUGGUUGGUGAAGCCAAUAAGAAGAUGAAGGAAUCCUUGGAACUGAGUGGGGAGAAGAGGAGUUCUGAGGGAACUACAAGGAUGCUGAAAAAGGACGAACAUAAGGAGUCUAUUAAACUGGAGAUCUCCUCUGGAGGUAAAGCUACAUCAGCUGUGGCAGAACAAGAAGCACACUCACGUUUUGUCAAGGCAGAGGUUAGCAUAUGUAAGAAACACAUUGAAGGAAGCCAUAAUGUGGGCUUACAAUCCGGCAUAGUGAAUGCAGAAAUGGAUGGAGGUACGCGUAUCCAUGCUGGUUCCAAGAAAGUGCACGUGGGUCUUCAGAAACAACCAAAUCAAGCUUCUUCAAAUCUGCAGGAUCGUGAGAGAACAAAGGCUACCCAGUUCAUUAAUGAUGAGCAUAGGAGCGAUAAUCAAGGUCAAGGGAUUGGUGCAGGUUCUUUGACCACUCAAAGAAGUUCAGCCAAGUCUAUCUCUGAUUCAGGCUCUGAUCUUCUAAAUUCCGUGACAAAAAGUCAGAUGCACACAAUACCUGAGCAAAACUCAGCUUUAGUUUCAGCGGAACCAUCAUCAGGAGGGAAGACUGGCCGUUUAAUGAAAAAGGAACAGACGAGCAAAUCAAAUGUGCCUUCAGCCAAACUUAGAGUACCGGCCUCAAAGGAGCAGUCACAAAAGACACCUAUGACAGCUGGCACCACAGCAAGAUCAUUCCAUGGAGAAGUGCCACCAUUGCAUUCUCGGAACAAGGCAAUGCCUUCCAAUUUAUCCCAGAAAAAAGACAAGACCCAUCACCGCUUUGUUCAUGUCACACAAGAGGGCCCUACUAAUUCAGCAUCAACUGAGUUGCGAGCCUCUGAUGCGACAUCUUCAUUGAGUGAUGAACAGCUGGCCUUGUUAUUACAUCAACAAUUAAAUAGCUCCCCAAGAGUACCAAGGGUGACACGUGGCCAACAAACAGGUAGCCAGAUGCUACAUCAAACUGGAGCGUCUGUUUUUUCCAAGCGGUCUUCAGCACAUGGAGGAAGGGAUCAAACACCGGUGUUAAAGAAGAGAAACAAAGAUGAUGCCGCAUUGAGAGAUAAUGGUGACAACAAGAGGUCAGGAAAGGUGUCUCUUGUUGAACGAAGGCAUAAAGAUUAUAGCACCGAACGUACUCCUUCUGUGAAGGACUCAUGCAGAUUAGCUGACAAUGCAGAAUUGGAAGAGCAAAAUCAUGGUAUGUGUUCAAACGAAGCUACCACUGGGUUAGAAAAGGACGAUCGGAUGGAUAACGGUCUUCCGCGCAGUUUACCUGGAUUCAUUGAUGAGAUCAUCAGUAGGAACAGAAAUAUAACAUAUGACGAACUGUGUGAUGCUAUCGGUGAGCAUUGGAGGGAUUUAGUUAAACCCAAAGGAGAAGAUUAUUCAUAUUCCAGCUUUUUGCAUGCUGUUGAUGAUUGUCUCAGGACAAAGAGCGAGUGGGCUCACCUUGUUUACCAGGCUCCAAAGGUGAAUCCGAAUAAACGACGUAAGGUGGAAAGCGACCCUUCGUCGGCUGAUGCAAUGGAAACCGAGAAGACAAGAAACCAGGCUGAAAGAUAUCCGGGAGAAGAGGGUAGUUCCGAGUCGCAACAAGGUCUGCCAAGGGGCAAACGGAAGGGUCGGAAGCGCUCCAGUCAUGUAAUGAAAUCCUCGGGUUCCAAGAAGAGGAGGAAGAUAACGAACAUGGAUUCAUCCUCAGAGGAUGCUGCUCCCCCCUUGUCUAAUUCCAGCAGCAACCCCAUGGUUGAUGAGAGCCAAGAGGAUGAUUCUUCUGGCGGUGAUAGGCAACCUAACUUUGCGGGUUCAUAG